rnacentral:rRNA from 1 species
UGGGGAAUAUUGCACAAUGGGGGAAACCCUGAUGCAGCAACGCCGCGUGAGUGAUGAAGGCCUUCGGGUUGUAAAGCUCUGUCUUCUCUGACGAUAAUGACGGUAAGAGAGGAGGAAGCCACGGCUAACUACGUGCCAGCAGCCGCGGUAAUACGUAGGUGGCAAGCGUUGUCCGGAAUUACUGGGCGUAAAGGGUGCGUAGGCGGUUUUUUAAGUGGGAUGUGAAAUCCUGGGGCUCAACCCCAGAAUAGCAUUCCAAACUGGAGAACUUGAGUGCAGGAGAGGAAAGUGGAAUUCCCAGUGUAGCGGUGAAAUGCGUAGAGAUUGGGAGGAACACCAGUGGCGAAGGCGACUUUCUGGACUGUAACUGACGCUGAUGCACGAAAGUGUGGGGAGCAAA